GCAAUUUGGUGGGGUGGGGUUGUUGGGUGUCGUGUGGGGUUUCUGUCCCACAUGAGCUUAUCCUGCACCCUCCACAUGCGUUCGGAGUGGCGUCAAGCUGCCCGUGACACAUGCGUUCGGAGUGGCGUCAAGCUGCCCCGUGACACAUUUACGCAAUGAAUGUUUGACAGAGUGGCGAUAUACAAUAACGAGUA
rnacentral:misc_RNA from 1 species